rnacentral:lncRNA from 1 species
UAAUAUAAUAUAAUCUAAUAUAAUAUAAUAAUAUAAUAUAAUAUAGUGGGGGGUUUUUUUAAUACAGAUUGGGCUCCUGACCUGAAGAUUCUGAUUCAGCAAGGCCUGGGUGGAGCACGUGACCCAUAAGUGUAACAAGCAGCCCAGGUGAUCCUAAUGAGGAGUUUAGGGACCAGCUGCUCACCUGGGCUCCCCUGUGCUUUCCAGUGCUCACUCUGCCCGUUAACCUGAAGUGCCGAGGACGGGAGACUGCUUGAAUUCGGAGCUUUGGGAAGGCUCACAAUGUGUUUCCCUUCCCAUUUCCUCAGGAGAAGCUCCCUAGAAGAGGGCUCAGAGGACAUCCUGCCUCUCCCAAUCUCUACCGAAGGAGUCCCAGAAAGAAAGAGGUGCCUGGCAAGGGAAUUCUAUGUACCCCCUGACUUCCAAAGGGCUGGGACGGUUGCAGGUAAGAGCUCUGACUGGUUCAUCAUCCUGAGACUGGUGAGUUUGCUCAACGGUUGGCCUAAGAGGGAAGAUGCCAGAGAGGUCCCUCCUCCUGCUGAAACCAAGGGGCAAGAAGUUAAUCCCCCAAAGGUGCUGCCACCUGCCACAGGAUGUUUCAUCGUAAAUGAAAGAUACACUGCAUAAAUCAUGUAUGCUCAGUACUUGUUGAAUCAAUGAAUGUUGGUGGAUAAAUAUCGCUAAGCAUUCCUUUAAUAGGGCACAGAGUUAUCUUUUUUUUUUUUAAGUUUAUUUAUUUCGAGAGACGGAGCGAGAGAGAGCAUGUAUAUGCGUUGGGGAGGGGCAGAGAGAGAGUGAGGCCAAGAAUCCCAAGCAGGCUCUGUGCUCCCAAUGCAGGCCUUGAACCCACGAAUCAUGCGAUCAUGACCUUAGCCGAAAUCAAGAGUUGGACUCUUAACCAACUGAGCCACCCGGGCACCCCAGAGCACAGAGUGUUC